rnacentral:snRNA from 1 species
UUUAAGACUUUGAUGUCUGGGUC